GCCCUGUGUAUACAAUAGCCAGGAUUCCAAACAUGUCAGUCCCCCUCAGUAUAACUGUGGCUGUCCUGGAGAGCCUUACUUAGAUAUAGGUCAGAAAUAAGGAGGAGGUCCCUUAUUCUGCCUGAGGCCCAUCAGUGAUGCUCCCGUGUGUUCCUGCCAGCACAGGACCAGGAUCGGUACCUUCUCCAAGCUCCGCAUAGGAGGACCCCAGCUCAAGCCUUCCCUGAGCAUCGCUGGCAGCUCUUGGCUAGUGGGCCGAGGGAGACUCUUCCCCCCCCCCCCUCCCUGCGCUUCCCUUCCCUACCCGGGCUGUAUAUUGCACAGGACAAACACUUAGGAGCCAUCGGCUAUGAGUCCCCCUGGGCCUCAGAGGAAGCAGGAGGCACUAGGGUAAGGGGGGGAGAUUCUGGGGAUGAGGGAUGUUCCAGAAGGCUGCCAAGAAGCUUCAGGGUGGGUGAGCAGGCUUCUUUCUCCUGGAC
rnacentral:lncRNA from 1 species